UGAUUCUCCUGCCUCAGCCUCCCAAGUAGGUGGGAUUACAGGCGUGCACCACCAUACCCGGCUAAUUUUUGUAUUUUUAGUAGAGACGGGGUUUCACCAUGUUGGCCAUUCUGGUCUGGAACUCCUGACCUCAGGUGAUCUUCCCGCCUUGGCCUCCCAAAGUGCUGGGAUUACAGGCAUGAGCCACCGUGCCCGGCCAACUAUUUCUUCCUUUCUAACUGGAUGCCUUUUUUUUUUUUUUUUUUUUUCAUUUUUCUUGCUGAACUCCCCUGGCUGGAACCUACAGUACAAUAUUGAAUAGAAGUGGCAAGAAGGGGGUAGUGCAGGCAGCAGGACAGGGUAGUGUGAUAUGGUGAAGGGCAGCAGGGAUUAACUGAGUGAGUCAGCACCAUUUCUUUUUAAGCUAUAAAAACAAUAGUAUUCCCAGAGGCUCCAUUCAGCAGAUUUCUGCUUUUAACUCAUUGAUCAAAUGAGUCACAGAGCCAUCUCUAGUUGUAAGCAAGGCUAGAGAGAUGAAUAUAAACUGGGUAUAUUGCAACCUGGUUAAAAAUUGAGGUUGCAUUGGUAAGAAAGAAGAGGAAAAUGGAUACUGAUUAAGCUAUUAGCUAUGCCUGCCAAUAUUAUUGAGAAGAAAAAAAAAUUGAUGUCUAAGUCAAGAAAAAGGGCACCGUUUAGCCAAAAACAAUCCUGAUUAUGUUUUGAAAAUUUAGAUUUUCUUCUAAUGCUAAAUAUGUUUUUGAGGUUUUUCAUAGUUAAUUACAGGUAAGUGUUUCCAGUGAGGACUGGCUUAGAGGGGAGCUCUUGUGGGUUUACGUGGCAGAGCAGUUCUUUCUACAGGCCAUGUGUUACUGCUCUGAUGUGUCAGUCCCAAGGUCUAAGGCAGGGAUCAGCAAACAUUUUUGUAAAGAGCCAGAUAGUAAAUGUUUUAGGCUUUGGGGGUUAUAGGGUAUGGCAGGCUGAAAAAUGGGCCCUCCAAAAAAUGUUCCCAUUCUAAUCACUGGAACCUGAGAAUGUAUUAUUUCAUAUGGCAAAUGAGAAUUUGUAGUUGUGAGUAAAUUAGGGAUCUUGAGAUGAGAGUUUAUCCUGGAUUAUCGGGGUGGGCACAGUGUAAUCUCGAGGGUCCUUAUAAGAGGGACACAGAGGGAUUAGAGAGACAAAUUGUAAGAUUCUGUGCUACUUCCUUUGAAGAUAGAAGAUGGGGCCCAGAGCCAAGGAAUGCAGGUGAUCUCUAGUUGCUCCAGGACGAAUGCAGCCCUGUCAACACCUUGAUUUUUGGAUAUCUGACCUCCAGAACUUUAGGAGAAUAAAUUUGUAUUAUUUAAGCCACUAAGUUUGUUGUAAUUUGUUAUGGCAGCAAUAGGAAACAAAUAGAUGUGAUUUCUAUUACAACUACUUAAUUCAGCUAUUGUACCAAAAGCAGCUAUAGGCAAUACAUAAGUGAAUGGACGGGCCUGUGUUCCAAUAAAAGUUUAUUUACAAAACCGGUAGGCAGGCUGGAUUUGGUCCAUGGGCUGUAGUUUUCUGACUCCUGAUCUAUGUAAUCUCCAAUUGCGCAACAUCAGUUUGUCUCUCUCUCUCUCUCUCUUUUUUUUUUUUUUUUUCAGACAGGGUCUCACUCUGUGGCCCAGGCUGGAGUGCAGUGGCAUGAUCUUAGCUUAUUGCAGCUUUGAUCUCCCAGGCUCAAACGAUCCUCCUGCCUCAGCCUCCUGAGUAGCUGGGACUACAGGUGGGUGCCACUGGGCCCAGAUAGUUUUUUAUUUUUUGUAGAGAUAGAGUUUUGCCAUGUUGCCUAGGCUGGUUUCAAACUCCUGGACUCAAGUUAUCUGCCCACCUUGGCCUCCCAAGGUGCUGGGAUUACAAACGUUAGCCACUGCCCCCAGCUGUCUCCAUUUUUUAAAUUAAAAUACAUAAUGUUCUAGUAAAUAUUCUUGUGGGCAAUUCAUUGGACCUGUCUUAGAUUACAUGCCCAGAGUAAAUUCUAGAAAUGAAAUUCCUGGUCUUCUCCGAAGACGGAAUUGAGUGGGGAAAAAAAAGAAAAUGAAAAAAGAAAUAAACACAAGAUAUUCUUGGUCAAAUUGUGUCUGCCCUUUCUCCUCCAGUGAGCUACGAUGAAGCCACAGUAAUCCACAUUCCCAGGGGAACACAGGUGGUCUGCCUCUCCAUGUGCUCAGAGUGCCAAUUCUUGGGUUGUAUAGUCUUCCAAUGUCUGCAAUUCCCUUAAUGGCCAUUAGAGUCGCGGACGAGAAAAAAACUCUUCAGAAAACGGUGUGAAUAAUGGGAGCAAGAGAAGAAGUUCCUGGUUAUAGCCCACUCAUAUAUUUUUGAAAUAUAGGUCAGAUCUAGAGGAAAUGAAAGAAACUUCCUGUUGAAUUUUCAUUUAUAGUAUGUGUCUGGAAAUCUCUAAAUGUAAUUUCUUGGUGUAAAAUAAACUGCAGAAAUCUGGGAUGUGUCAGUCUGCUUUAUGUUUAUUGAAGCCAUUCUAUUUG
rnacentral:lncRNA from 1 species